rnacentral:rRNA from 1 species
ACAGCAGUAGCCGCGGGAAUACGGAGGGUGCAAGCGUUAAUCGGAAUUACUGGGCGUAAAGCGUGCGCAGGCGGUUAUAUAAGACAGAUGUGAAAUCCCCGGGCUCAACCUGGGAACUGCAUUUGUGACUGUAUAGCUAGAGUACGGCAGAGGGGGAUGGAAUUCCGCGUGUAGCAGUGAAAUGCGUAGAUAUGCGGAGGAACACCGAUGGCGAAGGCAAUCCCCUGGGCCUGUACUGACGCUCAUGCACGAAAGCGUGGGGAGCAAACAGGAUUAGAUACCCCGGUAGUCCCUGUCUCUUAUAC